rnacentral:rRNA from 1 species
UACAGAGGGGGCAAGCGUUGUCCGGAUUUACUGGGCGUAAAGAGCGCGCAGGCGGUCCUUUAAGUCUGAUGUGAAAGCCCACGGCUCAACCGUGGAGGGUCAUUGGAAACUGGGGGACUUGAGUGCAGAAGAGGAAAGCGGAAUUCCACGUGUAGCGGUGAAAUGCGUAGAGAUGUGGAGGAACACCAGUGGCGAAGGCGGCUUCUGGUCUGUAACUGACGCUGAGGCGCGAAAGCGUGGGGAGCAAACAGG